rnacentral:rRNA from 1 species
GGAAUCUUUCGCAAUGGGCGCAAGCCUGACGGAGCAACGCCGCGUGCAGGAUGACGGCCUUCGGGUUGUAAACUGCUUUUAUAUCCGAGAAAUAUGAUGGUAAGAUAUGAAUAAGGACCGGCUAACUACGUGCCAGCAGCCGCGGUCAUACGUAGGGUCCAAGCAUUAUCCGGAGUGACUGGGUGUAAAGAGUUGCGUAGGCGGCAUGGUAAGUAGAUAGUGAAAUCUGGUGGCUCAACCAUUCAGACUAUUAUCUAAACUGCCAAGCUCGAGAUCGUUAGGGGUAGCUGGAAUUUCUAGUGUAGGAGUGAAAUCCGUAGAUAUUAGAAAGAACACCGAUAGCGUAGGCAGGCUACUGGGGCGAUUCUGACGCUAAGGCACGAAAGCGUGGGGAGCAAACG